rnacentral:rRNA from 1 species
AUUGAACGCUGGCGGCAUGCCUUACACAUGCAAGUCGAACGGCAGCACGGGAGCAAUCCUGGUGGCGAGUGGCGAACGGGUGAGUAAAGUAUCGGAACGUGCCCAGUCGUGGGGGAUAACGUAGCGAAAGUUACGCUAAUACCGCAUACGAUCUAUGGAUGAAAGCGGGGGAUCGCAAGACCUCGCGCGAUUGGAGCGGCCGAUAUCAGAUUAGGUAGUUGGUGGGGUAAAGGCUCACCAAGCCGACGAUCUGUAGCUGGUCUGAGAGGACGACCAGCCACACUGGAACUGAGACACGGUCCAGACUCCUACGGGAGGCAGCAGUGGGGAAUUUUGGACAAUGGGCGCAAGCCUGAUCCAGCCAUUCCGCGUGCAGGACGAAGGCCUUCGGGUUGUAAACUGCCUUUGUACGGAACGAAAAGGCUCUGGUUAAUACCUGGGGCUCAUGACGGUACCGUAAGAAUAAGCACCGGCUAACUACGUGCCAGCAGCCGCGGUAA